AAAGGAUCCAAACGCUAUGGGGAUUCGCUUCAUGCACUUUGCGCCUGGAUGGGCCAGCCAAGAACACGAGUAAGGAGCGGUACGAUAAAAAAUAACAUAACUAGCAACAGCAAUAAUAAUAAUAACGAUGGAAGGAUGGAAAGCGCCGCUGGGCCGAGGAAAAGUUUGAAAAAUGAAAUUAGUUUUGUGACAACAUCAAAUCAGUUUAGUUUGGAAUUGCAUUCUGACGAGGGAAGACCGAGAUUUUCCUGGACGCGCAGUGUCGCCGUUUGGCCCCCCUUUUGCUAAUCUAGUUCCCAUGAUUGCUAUCCGUGGUAUACCGAAUGGGAGUAGUCUGGAAAAGCGCGAGUUCCAAAAAUAGCCAACUUGGAUCAUCUUAAGCCCCCUCUUGCAAAGAAGAAGUGUUGGUCCGCACAGUCAAAUGGUGAAGAAGCAGAAAGAUGAUCUUGGCAGGCGGCGUUUGUCAACGCGCCGGUCGAUCACGUGGAGCACUUGGACUACUGCUGCAGCAGUUGUUAGACCGCUAUGAUGUAGCUAUGGUGGGACACAACAGAGGGGGUUCCCCAUGCAGAGAAAACCGUGUGCGUCUAUCUAAUUUACGGCUUCGGUAUUCUGUCGCGGCGGCAGGCAACACCAAGAAAUUAUGUGGCCUCUAAAAAUAGCCCAAAAACUCUCCCAGUUUUUCCCGAAUCCGCGCCAACCGUGGCCCUCGCAUUGUGUGUCCCUCAUCGCCAGCACCAGCACAGUGGUUUGAAAGAGUGAAAAGCCACUGUGUCCAGCGCUUUCUUCGCAGUCUAGAUGGAUGGGGUUUGUCAACUCGUCUCUCCGCCUUGCUCCACACAUCCAUCGUCGCGGACAAUUCCCCCCCAUAGAAAAACCAAGUUCAGUUGUUUAGUGCAUGCGUUUUUUUUUGUUGGAUUCACUUUCGGUGGAUUAUGUGACGAAGAAUACGGGCGAUGAACAACUAGGAAGAACAGAUUGAAACUCAAGAAGGACCCAUCCGAAGCCCUGUCGCAUUCGCAUUCGAGAGAUAAUGCGGUGCAAUUCCCAGUCGAACACUUUGACACGAGUGAAAGUUGCAGGCAUUUCUAAUAAAAUUAAAUCGCACUGAAAUGAUUCAACGACUGUUAGCGAAAGAGAGGCAGGAAGGGUUGCGGGGUUCGAUGAGUUCAGAAUAAGAGUAAAACACUUGAAGCAAGCAAGUAGGAACACAAGUUCUGCACAUGUUACGAAUUCCGAUUGGGAGCUACAGCGGGAACGGUGGAACACGAUGGUGAAUUUGAUGAUCGACUUGAUGCAAUCGGUGUGAUGCGUUUGGAAUGUGUCAAUUGCGAACGCGAUUGAGAAAUAUACAGUCACACUGAAUUAAGGAUCUUGGACCAAAUGGCGAAAGACCAACCUGUUGGCUGCUCGUAAAAAUAAUGCG